rnacentral:rRNA from 1 species
AACGUAGGAGACAAACGUUAUCCGGAGUUACUGGGCGUAAAGGGCGUGUAGGUGGUUUCGUAAGUCUGGCGUGAAAUUUUUCGGCUUAACCGGGAAAGGUCGUCGGAUACUGCGGAACUAGGACGGUAGAGGCGUGUGGAAUUCCGGGUGUAGUGGUGAAAUGCGUAGAGAUCCGGAGGAACACCAGUGGCGAAGGCGACACGCUGGGCCGUACCUGACACUGAUGCGCGACAGCAUGGGGAGCAAACAGG